rfam:OM182 bacterium BACL3 MAG-120619-bin32 contig04520_1_120619-bin32, whole genome shotgun sequence.
AUUAAUAACCAAGGUCGAGAACCUUAAAAAAUUAAC